CCUUGUACACGCCGCCCGUCACACCAUGGGAGUUGGCUGCACCAGAAGUAGUUAGCCCAACCGUAAGGGGGCGAUUACCACGGUGUGGUCAAUGACUGGGGUG
rnacentral:rRNA from 1 species